rnacentral:rRNA from 1 species
CCUACGUGUGGCAGCAGUGAGGAAUAUUGGUCAAUGGACGCAAGUCUGAACCAGCCAUGCCGCGUGCAGGAAGAAGGCACAGUGAGUUGUAAACUGCUUUUGUACGAGGAUAAACGCAGAUACGCGUAUCUGGCUGAGAGUAUCGUACGAAUAAGGAUCGGCUAACUCCGUGCCAGCAGCCGCGGUAAUACGGAGGAUUCGAGCGUUAUCCGGAUUUAUUGGGUUUAAAGGGUGCGUAGGCGGUCGGAUAAGUUAGAGGUGAAAUCCCGAGGCUCAACUCCGGAAUUGCCUCUGAUACUGUUAGUCUAGAGAGGAGGUGCGGUAGGCGGAAUGUACGGUGUAGCGGUGAAAUGCAUAGAUAUCGCGCAGAACUCCGAUUGCGAAGGCAGCAUACCGGCGCCAAACUGACGCUGAAGCACGAAAGCGUGGGUAUCGAACAGGAUUAGAUACCCGGGUAGUC